CGGGGUGUAGCGCAGUUUGGCUUAGCGCGCCUGCUUUGGGAGCAGGAGGCCGGAGGUUCAAAUCCUCUCACCCCGACCA
rnacentral:tRNA from 1 species